AAUCAAACUGGGAAAUAGCUCGUACUCUCCGAAAUGCAUUUCGGUGCAGCCUGUGAUGUUCUGUUCCAGAGGUAGAGCUACUGGUUGGACGCGAGGGCUUCACCGCCUAUCAAAUCCGGAUAAACUCCGAAUGCUGGAACACGAAAUCAUGGAGUGAGCCCGCGGGUGCUAAGGUCCGCGGACGAGAGGGAAAGAACCCGGACCACCGGCUAAGGUCCCGGAUGGACAGUUAAGUUGAUCAAACGAGGUGGGAUCGCGGAGACAGCUAGGAUGUUGGCUUGGAAGCAGCCAUUCAUUUAAAGAGUGCGUAACAGCUCACUAGUCGAGCGAUCCCGCGUGGAUAAUACACGGGCAUUAAACUGUCAACCGAAGCCGUGGGGUCAGCGAAAAGCUGACCGGUAGGAGAGCAUUCCUGCCAGCGUUGAAGGUCACCCGCGAGAGUGACUGGAGCGGCAUGAAAAGCAAAUGUAGGCAUAAGUAACGAUAAUGGGGGCGAGAACCCCCCACGCCGCAAGACCAAGGCUUCCCCGGCAAUGUCAAUCAGCCGGGGGUCAGCCGGCCUCUAAGGCUAACCCGAACGGGGAUGCCGACGAGAAACGGGUUAACAUUCCCGUGCUUCUCGUCACCGUGACGCGGUGACGGGGUGAUGAAUGGACCGCGCGCUGACGGAAUAGCGCGUUGAAGGCCGUACCCUUCGAGGGUGGUAGUCAAGCACGCCACCCGAGGCGAUAGCCGAUAGUACCACGAGACUCCGGUCGAGUGGAUAGCGUCCAGGCAAUUUACCCCCGAGAAAACCCGCUAAACUUCAAGUGACGAGGAACCGUACUGUAAACGGACACACGUGGUCGGGUAGAACAUACCAAGGCGCUCGAGUGAUUCAUGGUCAAGGAACUAGGCAAAAUAGUCCUGUAACUUAGGGAUAAAGGACGCUCUAGUGAUAGAGCCGCAGAGUAAUGGCCCAGGCGACUGUUUACCAAAAACACAUGGCUAUGCCAAAUCGAAAGAUGACGUAUAUGGCCUGACACCUGCCCGGUGCCGGAAGGUUAAGAGGAGAGCUCAUCGGAAACGAGAAGGUUUGAAUUGAAGCCCCGGUAAACGGCGGCCGUAACUAUAACGGUCCUAAGGUAGCGAAAUUCCUUGUCGGGUAAGUUCCGACCCGCACGAAAGGCGUAACGAUCUGGGCACUGUCUCGACCAUGAGCUCGGUGAAAUUGUAGUUCCGGUGAAGAUGCCGGGUACCCGCGACGGGACGGAAAGACCCCGUGAACCUUUACUGCAGCUUCGCGUUGUUCCCGGGCACGGGACGUGUAGGAUAGGUCGGAGGCUACGAUUCGGUUUCGCCAGGAAUCGAGGAGCCAUCGUUGAAAUACGACCCUUCUCUUGUCUGGGAUCUAACCCUAGGUACAGGGGACACCGCGUGGUGGGUAGUUUGACUGGGGUGGUCGCCUCCAAAAGCGUAACGGAGGCUUCCAAAGGUACCCUCGGGUUGGUUGGUAAUCAACCUCAGAGUGCAAUGGCACAAGGGUGCUUGACCGGGAGACCAACGAGUCGAUCGGGUGCGAAAGCAGGGCAUAGUGAUCCGGUGAUCCCGCG
rnacentral:rRNA from 1 species